GCCUUACACCUACGGGAGGCAGCAGUCGAGAAUCUUUCACAAUGGGGGCAACCCUGAUGGAGCGACGCCGCGUGGAGGAUAAGGUCUUCGGAUUGUAAACUCCUGUCAUGCGUGAACAAGGUUGCUUGGUUAAUACCUGGGCAAAUUGAUGGUAACGCAAGAGGAAGAGACGGCUAACUCUGUGCCAGCAGCCGCGGUAAUACAGAGGUCUCAAGCGUUGUUCGGAAUCACUGGGCGUAAAGGGUGCGUAGGUGGCGUGGUAAGUCAGAUGUGAAAGCCCGGGGCUCAACCUCGGAACUGCAUCCGAUACUGCCAUGCUAGAGUACUGGAGAGGUGACUAGAAUUCUCGGUGUAGCAGUGAAAUGCGUAGAUAUCGAGAGGAAUACCAAAGGCGUAGGCAGGUCACUGGACAGUUACUGACACUGAGGCACGAAGGCCAGGGGAGCGAACGGGAUUAGAUACCCCGGUAGUCCUGGCAGUAAACGGUGCACACUUGGUGUGGGGGGAUUCGACCCCUCCCGUGCCGGAGCUAACGCGUUAA
rnacentral:rRNA from 1 species